rnacentral:rRNA from 1 species
GGUAAUAAGAGUUUUGAUCCUGGUUCAAGAUUGAACGCUGGCGGCAGGCCUAACACAUGCAAGUCGAGCGGUAGAGAGAAGCUUGCUUCUCUUGAGAGCGACGGACGGGUGAGUAAUGCCUAGGAAUCUGCCUGGUAGUGGGGGAUAACGUUCCCCCUCUCCCCGCUAAUACCGCAUACGUCCUACGGGAGAAAGCAGGGGACCUUCGGGCCUUGCGCUAUCAGAUGAGCCUAGGUCGGAUUAGCUAGUUGGUGAGGUAAUGGCUCACCCAUCCUCCCCGAUCCGUAACUGGUCUGAGAGGAUGAUCAGUCACACUGGAAGUGAGACACGGUCCAGACUCCUACGGGAGGCAGCAGUGGGGAAUAUUGGACAAUG